rnacentral:rRNA from 1 species
AAAAAAAAAAAAAACACAAAAAAAAAAAAAAAAAAAAAAAAAAGCGAAA